GGCCGGCUGGCUCAAUUGGUAGAGCGUCUGACUACGAUUGAUUUGAACAUCUGAACGAAAAAUCAUUCAAAUUGUUUAUCAGGAGGCUGCAGGUUCGAGUCCUGCGUCGGUCA